UACGGAUGAUGCGAGCGUUAUCCGGAUUUAUUGGGUUUAAAGGGUGCGCAGGCGGAUUUUUAAGUCAGCGGUAAAAUCGAGGGGCUCAACCCCUUUAAGCCGUUGAAACUGGCAGUCUCGAGUUGGAGAGAAGUAUGCGGAAUGCGCGGUGUAGCGGUGAAAUGCAUAGAUAUCACGCAGAACCCCGAUUGCGAAGGCAGCAUACCGGCGCUCAACUGACGCUGAGGCACGAAAGUGCGGGUAUCGAACAGG
rnacentral:rRNA from 1 species